GACGAACGCUGGCGGCGUGCUUAACACAUGCAAGUCGAACGGAAAGGCCCUGCUUUUGUGGGGUGCUCGAGUGGCGAACGGGUGAGUAACACGUGAGUAACCUGCCCUUGACUUUGGGAUAACUUCAGGAAACUGGGGCUAAUACCGGAUAGGAGCUCCUGCUGCAUGGUGGGGGUUGGAAAGUUUCGGCGGUUGGGGAUGGACUCGCGGCUUAUCAGCUUGUUGGUGGGGUAGUGGCUUACCAAGGCUUUGACGGGUAGCCGGCCUGAGAGGGUGACCGGCCACAUUGGGACUGAGAUAAGGCCCAGACUCCUACGGGAAGCAGCAGUGGGGAAUAUUGCACAAUGGGCGGAAGCCUGAUGCAGCAACGCCGCGUGCGGGAUGACGGCCUUCGGGUUGUAAACCGCUUUCGCCUGUGACGAAGCGUGAGUGACGGUAAUGGGUAAAGAAGCACCGGCUAACUACGUG
rnacentral:rRNA from 1 species